CCGAGUGGGUGGGGGUGGAGAAGUUUCUCGAGACGCCUGAGGCUAAGGGGGUUGGGGCUAUAAUGCUGUGGGGGCUAAAGUGAAAUCUUCUAUUUGUGGUUCAUUCCUCUUGCUGCUGCACGGCCCUCCUACCCCCACUCCUGAGAUCCCCGGAAUCUGAGGACCGCCCUUCCCCCCGGCACCACACUCUUCUGGGCUCUCCCGCUUCCCGGUCUAACCGGAUUCUUCCAGAUCCUUCUCCAUGCCCCUACACCACCCCAGUACUUAGCCUGCCAAGCCAGAUCCUCCCCAAACAUUGCCGCCUGCUGCGUGGUUUGCUCAGAGAGUGGUUUGCGGGAAUAUUCCAUUGUAUGGAUAUGCCCCAGUUUGCUGAUCCGUUCACCAGAUGAAGGACUUUUGGGUUGUGUCUAACCUGUGGCUACUGGGAAUGAGCUGCUGGAACAUCCUUGUACAAAUCUUUGUUUGGAAAUAUGUUUUCAUUUCUCUUCAUGUCCUCAUGAGGAGCAGGCUUUGCUAGGCCAUAUGAGAUGUUUAGAGGUACGGGACGUUCCUCAAAGACUGCCAAGUAGAAGUUGAAAAAGUACACUUCAACCACAAACAUCAGAAACUUGAUGAAAGGAUUCCAAUGUGCAGAUCAGUUCCCAGAAGAGGAAAUUAUAUACAUCCUUCAGUUACUGCAACUCAACAUCAUCCACGAAAAGUUAGGAAGUGUACUGCGUCUGGAGUUGCUGGAUGUCAUCUCAGCUACCUGAGGACAAUGAAGCCAGGAGAAGUGGAGAAGAUGUGCACUGCUGUCUUAGCAGCUCUGGAGUCCAAGUAUCCAUGAAUGGUCUUCAGGAAGCUCUGGAACAGAAAGUAUGAUAAUUGUCUGCCCCCAAGGAGCCUCCUGAUUGCAGUAGGGGAGCUCAGCCUCUCCCAAGGUUCUGCUCUCUUAACUGGGCGCAUCUGGCAACACAUCCUGUGCCUUCUGAGGAUGGCCCAAGAGAACAACAUGCUGGUGAUGUGCUAUGACCUCAAGGAACGAGAAACUGAUCAAGAUGAUGGUCUUCGCCAUCCUCCAAACUUCCCAUGAGGAGCUGCAGCAGAGGAAGCUCCUCUGGCACUGAUCAGUGACUGAGACUCUGGGGAAAGACUUCUGGGCAAUCUAACCAGCUGGUUUAAGGAACCCGAUCUCAUCAAGGAAAUCAGGCUUCAUGGGAUCAGGAACCUGGCACUGCAUCCAGGAAAAACUUGAAGAGUGUGAGGAGAGCUCAUGACUUCUGGCCAAACAACACAGAGAUCCUGGAAAGCUGGGAGCCUGGUCACAAGAACCCGAAGGCUCAGAAACCUGAACUUCCCAGACCAGUACCUAUUCUCUCCGUGUGUCCUCCUUAUAGAACAUGGAAUUUUGGAGGUGGAGAAGUUGACAGGAAUGGCACAGACACAGGCUCAAGAAGCCCAUCCAAGUGCUGGUCUCUGGGUUGGAGAAGUUCAGGGGAUCCCCUCAGGUCAACAUCUUUUGGGACCAUUUACCCCAGAGAUUGCCUGUGUUGCAGUUGGUGGAUGUAUUCUUCCCAGAGUCUUUGGUGCUACAGUGCAGCCAUUAUCAAGUCACAGGGGCCAACAAUUCAUCUCACAACAAAGCAAACAAAGACUGACCCCUCGUCCAACUACACACUGCAUUCUCUGGACACCCUCUUAAUCCUGAUCAGCAAAAACUCAGUAGUGAGCAAGAUCUGGAUGUCAAAGAUUAAUGUCCUACAACUCUGUCUCACUUGGCCAAAAGAGAGUCUUUGACUGGAGAGCAUUGGCAUGUUAAUUUAUAUAUUCUCUCAAAAAGGAAACAAAGACUCAAAGAAGAUUAAUUGCCUGUGCCCUCAACUUUCUAUGGAUGUGGGAACUCCCUGAAGUUUAACAUUCUUGGCUCAUGCUCCACUUGUUACCUGCUGACAGUAUUUCUCCUGGGUGUGUUGCAACCAAUCAAGGCUGGGCAGAGCCACUGUCACAUCUGGGAGAUGGAAGAAAAUGCACGGAGCCGUGGGGAUGCUUGACAUGCCUUUAUUCACUGGUGGGAGAGCCAUGCACGCUGCAAGCUGCGUGUCUAACUUCUGGGAAGCCCCUACUUGUUUUAAGUACUAGAGGGGAACACAUAACAUAACAACAUAACAUAACAUAACAUAACAUAACAUAACAUAACAUAACAUUUCUGUGCAUAUGAGCCCACUUGGUGUUAUGGGAACAGUUUAUCAGACCCAGUCUCAAGGCUAUGAGAACACUGCUUAUCAGGCCCAUCCAAGGCUACUCCUUUGAUGUAGAGACAAGAUGAAGAGAACAUUUGCUUUUACAGCUCCUAUUCCUAUGUCUCAGCCUUUUUGUAUGUAAGAGGGUUAUGUGUAUACCUGAAUGUUCUGGCCUGAAUGCCACAGGUUUGCAGAUGUCUAUCUGUAACAUGAAAAGACACCGGCGUUUGGGCUGCCUGUCACUAUCAAAUCCAAUAAGCAAUGCCAGUGAUUGAAUCUUUUGUGGGCGCUUUAUUAAGAUGGCCGGUGAUCCGAGAAGAUGGCGGGUUCAUACCCUAACAAACCAUCUUUCCUUCUCUUUCCUGGCCACAUCUUUUAUAAGGGGGUGGGGGUGGGGGACAAGCAAGUUGCAGUGAGGCCUUCAGAAGCUGCAGCAUUCCUGUCCUGGGCAGUUAGCUGUUUCCAAGAGGGAGGGGUGGUUGGCUGGUCUUCCUGGAACAAAGGUUCAUAUGUCCCCAGGAGGUAAUCCUCUAUCAGUGCCCCAGGAGGUCAGCUGCUUUUCCCAGGAGCCAGGAUGGGCCUUAUCUGUAGUUUCUGAAACAAAAGUUUAACAUAUACAUUACUUGCUAGACUUACAGCUUUUUACUUUAAGCUAAAAUUUUCCAAGUCUUGAGCCCCCUAUCAUGUCCACAGGGGGUUUGCCUUUGGGUUGGAGCCCAAUUACAAUUCCCUGGUGCCUGCUUUGAGGCAAUAUCUUUUUGAGGUAACAGUGGAGUCAUAUCUCAGAUGGACAAGGCUUUGUUUCCUUUCUGGUUCUAUUGCAGCUCUUUAUCUAGAGAGUACAAUGGUAAAUGACCUUUAAGGGUCCUGUCUUUCCUCAAAGUCAGUGCUGUGGUGGAGAACAUGAGCUCCAGCGUUAGCCAGACCAGUCCCACACACUGGAUCUCUUGAGAAUGAGCCAUGCGAACUUGGGCAAGUUACUUUGUCUUUGUGCCUCAGUUUCUUCAUCUGCAUCAUGAGGACACUAGUGCUGCUCUUUGACAUUGUUGUAAAGAUGGAAAACAAAGCUCAGAAAGCAUUGAGCUCUGCUGGGCACCUAGAGGUCCCACAGACCUUUUGUGCAGAGUUGCCUCAGACUAGGGCAAGAGAAGGUAUCGAGAGAGCAGGUGGGAAGUUUACUUAGAGCUAUGGUCAAUUCUGAAAAGGUCAAGCCAGUUUCCCAAGCCACCAGACUGCUCAUGACCCUGUCAGGCCAGUUUCCCAAGCUGCUAGACUGCCCAUGACUCAGUUGUCCCGGCUCACUUGGUAGCCUGAGGCUUAAUCGAAACUCUCCCACCACGCACAAUAGACACCUGGCGCCAGCCACAAUGCCCGGUGGUCAGACUGACCCUCCUGUGCCUGGGAACCGCCUGCCCUUUACCUAACCCACUGUCCCGGCUCACAUCCUGGAACCCCAAGGCACUCGCCUAGAAGAACAAGAGACUAACCCCUCCCCCCCCACCACAAACUCCAUGCUUUUUCUUUAAAAAAACCCAAUUCCUUCC